CCAUGUGGGUGUGGGAGGUCUGCGGCAACGCCUUCCGCUAUAGUGCUGGCGAGAACAUAUAAUCCUCCUAAAGAAUACAAGUUCCCCCCAUCAUCAUAUCUGAUUCGGACUCCAUCGCUGCUACCUCAUCAAUCUCUCUCCCAGGUGGAGGCGCGUAUUAGGCAUUUAGCCAUGGGUUGCCCAUAGCUUGGACAAAUCAGUGGCUGGAUAUCUAUGUUGCCUAUAUACAUGUGCUUACUUUAAAAGACACACAUCAUCAGCACAAGGUCACUCUGUUUUUUACUUUUUCUUUAACCAGAAAUAUGGACUUAACACACAUAUAUUUUCAUUCUCAUGUAAUGGGAUAUAUCUUGGAAGGAAAAAAAAUCAUGUUGUAUCAUGUUAUAUC